rfam:Glycine soja cultivar W05 scaffold1029_56, whole genome shotgun sequence.
CUGUUAAGUGAUGACGUGGUAGACAGAAUGUCACUUCAUCAAGUCUUGUCAUGGACAUCUCAUUGUCACGUCAUCACCUUCAAUGAUAUGACAAUGAUGUGUCAAUGAUUAGGCAUAAUGACGUGACACUUUAUCUGUCGCAUCAUCAUUUAACAGAA